UAUCUCUGUAGAGUCUGCAUAUCAAUAAGCGGAGGAAAAGAAACUAACUAGGAUUCCCUCAGUAACGGCGAGUGAAGCGGGAAGAGCUCAAAUUUGAAAUCUUCAAGGUUCUACCUUGACGAAUUGUAGUUUAAAGAAGUGUUUUCUGUUGGAGUUUUGGUAAAAGUUCUUUGGAAUAGGACAUCAUAGAGGGUGAGAAUCCCGUAUUUGACCAUUAUUUCCAACUUUGUGAUACACUUUCAAAGAGUCGGAUUGUUUGGGAAUGCAGUCCAAAAUGGGUGGUAAAUUUCAUCUAAAGCUAAAUAUUGGCGAGAGACCGAUAGCGAACAAGUACCGUGAGGGAAAGAUGAAAAGAACUUUGAAAAGAGAGUUAAACAGUGCGUGAAAUUGUCAAAAGGGAAGCGUUUGACACCAGUGUUGUUUUUCCGAAAAUCAAUUACGAAUGUUUUAUUUUUGAGGAGUUAUGACUUCAUCGGCUUGCUCCUUUCUUUAUGAAACUUUCUUAAUGCACUUUUCGGUUAACAAGUCAACAUCAAUUUCUUUUGUUGUAAAAGGGUCAUUGAGGAAGGUGGCUUUCUUUUCGGAGAAAGUGUUUAUAGCCUUUGACUUCUGCAAUCGGAGAGAUUGAGGUCUGCAGCGUAGAUCCUUCGGGGUUAGAUACAUUUGUGCUAAGUUAUAGCUUUUCAUAGACAACUUGUUGACUAUGAUUAGUCAUUGUAGCUUACUCGCUUAUGCUAUUUUACCUACGCUUAGGAUGUUGAGUAGCGACAUACGCAC
rnacentral:rRNA from 1 species